GGAGGAUUAGUUUAUGAUUAUGCAGAAUACUGCUUUUGUAAAGCAGGGGGGUUUAUUUUGACAUCUUCCA
rnacentral:tRNA from 1 species